CAGUCGCCGCGGUAAUACGUAGGUGGCAAGCGUUGUCCGGAAUUAUUGGGCGUAAAGGGCUCGCAGGCGGUUUCUUAAGUCCGAUGUGAAAGCCCCCGGCUCAACCGGGGAGGGUCAUUGGAAACUGGGAAACUUGAGUGCAGAAGAGGAGAGUGGAAUUCCACGUGUAGCGGUGAAAUGCGUAGAGAUGUGGAGGAACACCAGUGGCGAAGGCGACUCUCUGGUCUGUAACUGACGCUGAGGAGCGAAAGCGUGGGGAGCGAACAGGAUUAGAUACCCCUGUAGUCCCUGUCUCUUAUAC
rnacentral:rRNA from 1 species